GUAGGUGGCAAGCGUUGUCCGGAAUUAUUGGGCGUAAAGCGCGCGCAGGCGGUUCUUUAAGUCUGAUGUGAAAGCCCACGGCUCAACCGUGGAGGGUCAUUGGAAACUGGAGAACUUGAGUACAGAAGAGGAAAGCGGAAUUCCACGUGUAGCGGUGAAAUGCGUAGAGAUGUGGAGGAACACCAGUGGCGAAGGCGGCUUUCUGGUCUGUAACUGACGCUGAGGCGCGAAAGCGUGGGGAGCAAACAGGGAUUAGAUACCCUGGUAGUCCGCGCCGUAAACGAUGAGUGCUAAGUGUUAGGGGGGUUUCCGCCCCCUUAGUGCUGCAGCUAACGCAUUAAGCACUCCGCCUGGGGAGUACGGCCGCAAGGCUG
rnacentral:rRNA from 1 species